UACAGAGGGUGCAAGCGUUAAUCGGAAUUACUGGGCGUAAAGCGCGCGUAGGUGGUUCAGUAAGUUGGAAGUGAAAUCCCCGGGCUCAACCUGGGAAUUGCAUUUGAAACUGGGGAACUAGAGUGUGUGAGAGGGGGGUAGAAUUCCAAGUGUAGCGGUGAAAUGCGUAGAGAUUUGGAGGAAUACCAGUGGCGAAGGCAAUCCCCUGGGCCUGUACUGACGCUCAUGCACGAAAGCGUGGGGAGCAAACAGG
rnacentral:rRNA from 1 species